rnacentral:lncRNA from 1 species
ACUGAAGCGACUUAGCAGUAGCAGAUUUCAUAGCAAAAGGAAAAAAAGUUGCAUUUGGAAAGUUGAUUUGAACUGGGUAUAUAGGACUGAUAAAGGAAAUCAGUCUGAAUAUUCAUUGGAAGGACUGAUGCUGAAGCUCCAAUACUUUGGCCACCUGAUGUGAAAAACUGACUCAUUAGAAGAGACCCUGACGCUGGGAAAGAUUGAAGGCAGGAGAUGAAGGUGAUGACAAAGGAUGAGAUGGUUGGAUGGCAUCACUGACUCCAUGGACAUGAGUUUGAGCAAGCUCCAGGAGUUGGUGAUGGUUAGGGAAGCCUGGUGUGCUGCAGUCCAUGGGGCUGCAAAGAGUCAGACACGACUCAGCGACUGAACUGAUAUAGGCUUAUCACCCCCCACCCCUCCAAAAUAGCUAGCUGUGAAAAAGGUGUCAGACAAGUAACCCAAGUUAAGAGCAGGGUGUAAUGCAAUGAAGACUGGUGAGGACUAGGGAAAAGUGGAAAGCGAAGACCCCAUUAAAGGAGGCAGCUGCUAUAUAGCUUCACUUGUGGCAGUAUAGGCAAUGGUUGUUAUAUCUUCACAUUUUUAAAUAAAAACCUGAAAUCCAGACUUUUAACUGAAACUUCCUAUGUACAAAAUGUUGGCAACUAAUUAAAAAAGUGUUAAAGCCCUGGGUUGGCCCAUUUAACACACACACACACACACACACACACACGUGUGUGCAAAGUGCCCUGACAGAUGACCUGCAAGACAUGCGUGCAGGAGAUGCACACUUUUCCUGAGCACCAUUUCUCCUUAUUGUUUCAGCUUGAGGGACACAUCCCAGAAGAAGGAGCACAAGGGCAGGGUGACAUUAGGUAUUUAUGGUCUUGA